rnacentral:rRNA from 1 species
GAAAAAUAACGAUACGGGACUCAUCCGAGGCCCCGUAAUCGGAAUGAGUGCACUUUAAAUCCUUCAACAAGGAUCCACUGGAGGGCCAGUCUGGUGCCAGCAGCCGCGGUAAAACCAGCUCCAGUAGCGUAUAUUAAAGUUGUUGCGGUUAAAAAGCUCGUAGUUGAAUCUGUGUCCCACACUGUCGGUUCACCGCUCGCGGUGUUCAACUGGCAUGUCUGUGGGACGUCCUGCCGGUGGGCGCAGCCCGUCAAAAGGCGGCCCAACUCAAAAUCCUACCACGGUGCUCUUCACCGAGUGUCGAGGUGGGCCGGUACGUUUACUUUGAACAAAUUAGAGUGCUUAAAGCAGGCUCAUUCGCCUGAAUAUUGUGUGCAUGGAAUAAUGGAAUAGGACCUCAGUUCUAUUUUGUUGGUUUUCGGAAUUCCGAGGUAAUGAUUAAUAGGGACAACUGGGGGCAUUCGUAUUGCGACGUUAGAGGUGAAAUUCUUGGAUCGUCGCAAGACGGACAGAAGCGAAAGAAAUGUGUUUUCAUCAAUCAAGAACGAAAGUUAGAGGUUCGAAGGCGAUCAGAUACCGCCCUAGUUCUAACCAUAAACGAUGCCAGCUAGCGAUCCGCCGAAGUUCCUCCGAUGACUCGGCGGGCAGCU